GCGGGCGUAAUUCAAUGGCAGAAUGAAAGCUUCCCAAGCUUUACACGCGGGUUCGAUUCCCGUCGCCCGCUCCA
rnacentral:tRNA from 1 species